rnacentral:rRNA from 1 species
UACGAAGGGGGCUAGCGUUGUUCGGAAUCACUGGGCGUAAAGCGCACGUAGGCGGGUUUGUCAGUCAGGGGUGAAAUCCUGGGGCUCAACCUCGGAACUGCCUUUGAUACAGCAAAUCUCGAGCUCGGAAGAGGUGAGUGGAAUUCCUAGUGUAGAGGUGAAAUUCGUAGAUAUUCGGAAGAACACCAGUGGCGAAGGCGACUCGCUGGACAAGUAUUGACGCUGAGGUGCGAAAGCGUGGGGAGCAAACAGG